rnacentral:sRNA from 1 species
UUGUACCUGCGGUUGGACGAAGCAUAUGCCAAACAUGUUUUGCAGGUGACAGGCAUAUGUUCAGUCUGGUGGCUACGCCUUCAAAGGAUUUUC